rnacentral:rRNA from 1 species
CCUACGGGAGGCAGCAGUGAGGAAUAUUGGUCAAUGGUCGGGAGACUGAACCAGCCAAGCCGCGUGAGGGAUGAAGGUACAGAGUAUCGUAAACCUCUUUUGUCAGGGAACAAAGGCGGGGACGUGUCCCUGGAUGCGUGUACCUGAAGAAAAAGCAUCGGCUAACUCCGUGCCAGCAGCCGCGGUAAUACGGAGGAUGCGAGCGUUAUCCGGAUUUAUUGGGUUUAAAGGGUGCGUAGGCGGUCUGUUAAGUCAGCGGUAAAAGCCCGGGGCUCAACCCCGGCCCGCCGUUGAAACUGGCAGUCUCGAGUUGGCGAGAAGUAUGCGGAAUGCGCGGUGUAGCGGUGAAAUGCAGAGAUAUCGCGCAGAACUCCGAUUGCGAAGGCAGCAUGCCGGCUCCACACUGACGCUGAGGCACGAAAGCGUGGGUAUCGAACAGGAUUAGAUACCCGAGUAGUC